UACGAAGGGGGCUAGCGUUGCUCGGAAUUACUGGGCGUAAAGCGCACGUAGGCGGAUUUGUAAGUCAGGGGUGAAAUCCCGGGGCUCAACCUCGGAACUGCCUUUGAUACUGAGGAUCUUGAGUUCGGGAGAGGUGAGUGGAACUGCGAGUGUAGAGGUGAAAUUCGUAGAUAUUCGCAAGAACACCAGUGGCGAAGGCGGCUCACUGGCCCGAUACUGACGCUGAGGCACGAAAGCGUGGGGAGCAAACAGG
rnacentral:rRNA from 1 species